ACUUUAAACUACACUUGCUGUAUUCAGUCAUAAAAGCUAGAAKACCUAUUUCUUUUAGAACAUACGCCUUCUGCGUCCAUAACAAUUAUGGCUUCCAAAUAUCUAAUUUUGCUUCUAGCUAUAGCAAUAAUCGUUGAUUUUCAGCCGUCAAACGGGUUUCAAUUAAGCGGAAUCGAUGGGGGUCUAAGGCCGAUGUGCCUCAAGGGUAAAUGUGUUCUGCGAAAGCGAGGAAAACAAGGUCAACAACAAGAAGGACCAUUGAUGAAACACAUAUUUUUAUCCAAUAUAAAACGAAGGAAAGCAUCAACUUUGAAUGACUGACUUUGAUAAGGAUUCUUUUGUGAGGAAGCCACAAGAUUGUUAAGUGGCCAGUCCGUGGAACAAUAGACAACGCAAGAGCCACAGCUCUUAAAAUAAGGAACACAUAGACUCGUAUUAUUUAUGUAUUGAGGAUUGUUUGUUCUCUUAUAGACGACAAUAAUACACCAUUUUUUAUUUUAUUUAUAUAUUUAUUUUUAAUGAUUAUUAAUAAUACAUGUAACACGGAAUACACAGGAAUCCCAUCACGAAACUGUAUCGAUUCAUUAAAGUAGCACGGUUGUUCAGUU